AACGAACGCUGGCGGCGUGCUUAACACAUGCAAGUCGAACGGAAAGGCCCUGCUUUUGUGGGGUGCUCGAGUGGCGAACGGGUGAGUAACACGUGAGUAACCUGCCCUUGACUUUGGGAUAACUUCAGGAAACUGGGGCUAAUACCGGAUAGGAGCUCCUGCUGCAUGGUGGGGGUUGGAAAGUUUCGGCGGUUGGGGAUGGACUCGCGGCCUAUCAGCUUGUUGGUGGGGUAGUGGCUUACCAAGGCUUUGACGGGUAGCCGGCCUGAGAGGGUGACCGGCCACAUUGGGACUGAGAUACGGCCCAGACUCCUACGGGAGGCAGCAGUGGGGAAUAUUGCACAAUGGGCGGAAGCCUGAUGCAGCAACGCCGCGUGCGGGAUGACGGCCUUCGGGUUGUAAACCGCUUUCGCCUGUGACGAAGCGUGAGUGACGGUAAUGGGUAAAGAAGCACCGGCUAACUACGUG
rnacentral:rRNA from 1 species